rnacentral:rRNA from 1 species
UAGAGUUUGAUCCUGGCUCAGAUUGAACGCUGGCGGCAUGGUUAAAACAUGCAAGUCGAACGCGAAAGGGGGCAACCCCGAGUAGAGUGGCGAAAGGGCGAGUAAUGCGUUUCUAACGUACCCUGAGCACGGGGAUAGCUCGCCGAAAGGCGAAUUAAUACCCGAUGAUGCUGGUGGACUGCAUGGUCUGCCUGCCAAAGUAGCAAUACGGCUCAGGAGCGGGGAACGUCCUAUCAGGUAGUUGGUGAGGUAACGGCUCACCAAGCCUAAGACGGGUAGCGGGUGUGAGAGCACGGCCCGCCGCAUCGGGACUGAGACACUGCCCGGACUCCUACGGGAGGCUGCAGUAACGAAUAUUCCGCAAUGCGCGAAAGCGUGACGGAGCGAUGCCGCGUGGAGGAUGAAGCCCCUCGGGGUGUAAACUCCUGUCAGGGUUUAGCAACUCAAUGAGCAGACCCAGAGGAAGAGACGGCUAACUCUGUGCCAGCAGCCGCGGUAAUACAGAGGUCUCAAGCGUUAAUCGGAGUCACUGGGCUUAAAGGGUGCGUAGGCUGGCCCGCAAGUGCUUUGUGAAAUCCCAUGGCUCAACCAUGGAAUUGCUUGGCAGACUGCGGGUCUUGAGGUCGGUAGAGGUCGCUGGAACUCUAGGUGGAGCGGUGAAAUGCGUAGAUAUCUAGAGGAACGCCGAUGGUGAAGACAGGCGACUGGGCCGAUUCUGACGCUGAGGCACGAAAGCGUGGGGAGCAAACGGGAUUAGAUACCCCGGUAGUCCACGCCCUAAACGAUGUACACUAGAUCGCAGAGGCUUUGACGCCCCUGUGAUCGAAGGAAAACUGUUAAGUGUACCGCCUGGGGAGUACGGUCGCAAGGCUAAAACUCAAAGGAAUUGACGGGGGCUCACACAAGCGGUGGAGCAUGUGGCUUAAUUCGAAGCAACGCGAAGAACCUUAUCCUAGGCUUGACAUGUAUGGAUUAGCUCCUGGAAACAGGAGUGAGGCCUUCGGGUACAACAUACACAGGUGCUGCAUGGCUGUCGUCAGCUCGUGCUGUGAAGUGUCGGGUUAAGUCCCUUAACGAGCGAAACCCCUGUCGUUAGUUGCUACCGCGUCAUGGCGAGGACUCUAACGAGACUGCCGGUGUCAAACCGGAGGAAGGUGGGGAUGACGUCAAGUCCUCAUGGCCCUUAUGCCUAGGGCUGCACACGUGCUACAAUGGCGUAAACAAAGCGACGCGAGACCGCAAGGUGGAGCAAAUCGCACAAAGUACGCCCCAGUUCAGAUUGAGGUCUGCAACCCGACCUCAUGAAGUUGGAAUCGCUAGUAAUCGCGGAUCAGCUACGCCGCGGUGAAUAUGUUCCUGAGCCUUGUACACACCGCCCGUCAAGCCAUGGGAGCCGGGAGCACCCGAAGCCGCCACGAUUCAGUGGUGUCUACGGUGAGCUCGGUGACUGGGGCUAAGUCGUAACAAGGUAGCCGUAGGGGAACCUGCGGCUGGAUCACCUCCUUA